rnacentral:rRNA from 1 species
AACGUAGGUUCCGAGCGUUAUCCGGAUUUACUGGGCGUAAAGCGCGUUCAGGCGGUUUGGCAAGUCGGGCAUGAAAUCUCUCGGCUCAACCGGGGAGAGGUUGUCCGAUACUGGCUGGACGUGGAGGGCAGUAGAGGGUGGUAGGUGAAUUCCGGGUGUAGGUGGUAGAAAUGCGUAGAGAUCCGGAGGAACACCAGUGGCGAAAAGCGGCCACCUGGACUGUACCUGACGCUGAAACGCGAAAGCUAGGGGAGCGAACGGGG